rnacentral:rRNA from 1 species
UACAGGGGGUGCAAACGUUGCUCGGAAUUAUUGGGCGUAAAGCGCGCGUAGGCGGCCACUUAAGUCGGAUGUGAAAGCCCCUGGCUCAACUGGGGAAGUGCACCCGAAACUGAAUGGCUUGAAUUCGGGAGAGGGAUGCAGAAUUCCAGGUGUAGCGGUGAGAUGCGUAGAUAUCUGGAGGAAUACCGGUGGCGAAGGCGGCAUCCUGGACCGACAUUGACGCUGAACGGCGAAAGCUAGGGGAGCAAACGGG